UCUUACACAAUGAGGCAUAGAGGGUCAAAACCAGCCCAUUAUUUACAGUGUUGGGCGAGAAGGCAGAAAGUGAAGUUAUCCAAGGGGAAAGAAAAAGGCCGGAAGAGUCCCUAGGGAUGAAGAAUGGAAUGGGUGCUGAAGGUCUCAGAGGAAUGGCGACUGUUAGGUGGAGAGCAGGACUGGGGCGGUAAAGGGGGCUCGUCCGAGGCUGUGAGCAGAGCAGACUGCCUCCUCCUUCCACAGCUCAGCCGGUAGGAGGGUCUUGAGCAGCUCUGUGCGAGAGAGGGACCCAGAGACAGACCAGCGGGCUGCAGCGUUUCCACAACCUGGGAGAACGCAGGGAAGAGGAGGAGAGGAGUGGAGACGAGAGGGGGAAGGCGUCAGCGCGGGCAGUCGAUUCCCCCUACUGGCUGUACACGGAGCUACCACCUAGAACACACUGUGUCCUCAAACAAACACUUAACAAACUAGUCUGAUUUACUCUCAAAACCAGUGAAGUUAAAUAAACCACUUUCAAUGUGCAA